rnacentral:rRNA from 1 species
UACGAAGGGGGCGAGCGUUGUUCGGAUUUACUGGGCGUAAAGGGCGCGCAGGCGGCUCAUUUUGUCAGGCGUGAAAGCCCCGGGCUUAACCUGGGAACUGCGUUUGAUACGGAUGGGCUAGAGUUCGGGAGAGGAGAGUGGAAUUCCCAGUGUAGAGGUGAAAUUCGUAGAUAUUGGGAAGAACACCGGUGGCGAAGGCGGCUCUCUGGACCGAUACUGACGCAUGAGGCGCGAAAGCGUGGGGAGCAAACAGG